AAUACUGUUUUUCUGAAAAUAAAUAAAUUAAUCGAAAAAAAAGAAAAUAAUAAGUAAGUAAGUAAGUAAAAAAAUAAAUAAAUAAAAUCAUGUUUGAUUUCCCAGAUCACAAAAAAAAAAAAAAAAGAAAGAAAAAAAGAAAAAAAAAGAAAACGUUAGACAACAUUGCCUUAUUCCAAGUACAGGAGAGGACCCAAGAAUAAGGAGCUGGGAACAUGCCUGCUGGGGCACUCUCCUCCUCCCUCACAGAGAUGAAGCCCAAGGCUACACGAAGUCCCUGUCUCCUUGUGCUUGAGGAUGUGGGCCCUGCCGACGCUUUUACCUUUGUCCUUUCAAGCUCCCUUGGCUGCAUCUUCUCACAGAUGGAAGGAUCAGUCACACUUACAGGCAAGACCCCAGGGUGAGGAGGAUGUCUCUGUCCCUGGAACAAGGGGGCAAGAAAGAGUCAGGAGGGACUCAAAGAGGCAUUUCCGCAUGAAUGGGGUGUGGACCAUGUCACAGGAAAACACAGAAGUCCU